CCAGCCUGAGGAAGAGCUGCAGUCACACAAACCGGGAAAAGCAAAGCCAAGGGACAGCAGAGAGCCGAGGUGACAGAACAAAUGCCAUCUCCCACUGCACAGAGAUAUCAAGGAAUGAUUCUUCAGAUCCCUGCUGGAGAAAACCCAGGCACACCAGGGCUUCAGAGGGGAAUUCCUGCCCCAGCAAUAAAUGAAAACCCUCAAUUUUCUUCCUAUUCUCAGCUACAAACACAGAACCCUGCUGUCUGCAGAGCACCCUUACUGAUCCAGCCUCUCCUCAGGAUGACACUUCAGGGAUGUUGGGAUGCUUUGUUUAAAGAUUAAAGGAGGCAAAAGGAAAAUGAAGCACCUUUGCUGUUGCCAUGGCAGGGCAGAGAUCAGAGCAAACCAUAAACGGCUCAUUAUAGACUCGUACAUGAGAUCUAUGGGGAAUGUACCAAAAAAACCCACAAAAUGCCACUAAACACCAUCCUGCCAACCACAGGAAA